UACGUAGGCAGCGAGCGUUGUUCGGAGUUACUGGGCGUAAAGGGUGUGUAGGCGGUUCUUUAAGUCUGAUGUGAAAGCCCACGGCUCAACCGUGGAGGGUCAUUGGAAACUGGGGGACUUGAGUGCAGGAGAGAAGAGUGGAAUUCCACGUGUAGCGGUGAAAUGCGUAGAGAUGUGGAGGAACACCAGUGGCGAAGGCGGCUCACUGGCCCGGUACUGACGCUGAGGCGCGAAAGCGUGGGGAGCAAACAGG
rnacentral:rRNA from 1 species